rnacentral:rRNA from 1 species
GUGCCAGCCGCCGCGGUAAUACGAAGGGUGCAAGCGUUACUCGGAAUUACUGGGCGUAAAGCGUGCGUAGGUGGUUGUUUAAGUCUGCUGUGAAAGCCCUGGGCUCAACCUGGGAAUUGCAGUGGAUACUGGGCGACUAGAGUGUGGUAGAGGAUAGUGGAAUUUCCGGUGUAGCAGUGAAAUGCGUAGAGAUCGGAAGGAACAUCUGUGGCGAAGGCGACUAUCUGGGCCAACACUGACACUGAGGCACGAAAGCGUGGGGAGCAAACAGGAUUAGAAACCCUGGUAGUCC